GAUGAACGCUAGCGGCAGGCUUAACACAUGCAAGUCGAGGGGCAUCGAGAGUAGCAAUACUUGUCGGCGACCGGCGCAAGGGUGCGUAACACGUGAGCAACAUACCCGUUUCAGGAGGAUAACCGGAGGAAACUCUGCCUAAUACUCCAUGACAUCAUCAAACGGCAUCGUUUAAUGAUUAAAGAUUCAUCGGAAACGGCUUGGCUCGCGGGACAUUAGCUUGUUGGUGAGGUAACGGCUCACCAAGGCCACGAUGUCUAGGGGUUCUGAGAGGAAGGUCCCCCACACUGGAACUGAGACACGGUCCAGACUCCUACGGGAGGCAGCAGUGAGGAAUAUUGGACAAUGGUCGGAAGACUGAUCCAGCCAUGCCGCGUGAAGGUUACUGUCCUAUGGAUAUUAAACUUCUUUUGUAUGAGAGCAAUAAGGUGCACGUGUGCACCGAUGAGAGUAUCAUACGAAUAAGCAUCGG
rnacentral:rRNA from 1 species